rnacentral:lncRNA from 1 species
UAAUAGACAAUGGUGCCUUUCUCCAUUCCAGACGCCAGAUGCUCCACAGAACCUGGCUAUUGGCCCCACCCAAAGAAAUGGUACAGGUGGUGGCAUGAGUACAGCCGUGAAAGGACACUGGCGUGGGCUGACAACAUUCAGAUGGUCCCCAAGCUCCUCUCUCUCCUCACCAGCCCUGACACACAAACCCAACAUUUUCAUCCCGGAGAUCCUGGGGUACCAGUCACACCAGGAACCUUACCUGCUACGUGUUCUGAGCCUGUGAAUGGAAGGACCCCCUCCAUAUUCUUCUGAAUGGGGGUCUCCCUGUUGCAUCUGGGCUCCAGUACCUUCGGCUCCUUGGUGCUCAUGAUCACCCCACAGCCCCAGGACCACAGCACCAAGCUCACCUGGCUGGUGAAGUUCCCUGGAGUUGGUGUGACCACAGAGAGAACCAUCCAGCUCAGUGUCUUCUAUGCUCCAAGGUACCCAAGGAUCGGUGUCUCUCUAGGAGAUGGCACAGGUGAGCGCUGCCCCAGGGACCAAGAAGAGAUGUGGGGAGUACAGGGGACACAACGCUGAAUCCCAGGUCCCAGUGCUGGAGGGACCUGAAGGCUCGAGAGGGCCAGGCAGUAGGCUGAGUUGUGACUCCAGACUCGGUUUCCAGAUGCCUCCUCAUCCAGUUCCUCCACAGUCUGAGCAGCUGUGUUUCCUCUCUGGUGCUGGAGAACAAGGGGCAAAUGCCACAGCCUGGAAUGGAGGCCUUGCACAGUCUGCUUCUGGCCGGACUCUCCUCCUGAUUCCUCAUCUCCCUGCAUCACCCAAAGACCUCCCACACCCACCAGGCCAAGCCUUCUGUGACUCAGACUUUGCAUGUGUAAUUCCUUCUCCUGAAAUGCCCUUCCUUCCCAUUCCUGCCAAUCCAGGUCCCAAUUGUCCUUCAGGCUCAGUCUUAAUGUCACUCAGUUGUGUGUGUGUGUGUGUGUGUGUGUGUGUGUGUGUGUGUAAUUCUUAUUUGGUUCUGAGUGGAGAAGAGGCAUUCAUUCAUUAUUGGUGAUAGAUACAAAGUGGCAAGUUCAAUUACUAGACUGAGCAUCCAUUAUGUAUCAGCAUUAUUAUUGGUACCAGGGUUUCCUCAGUAGACACAGCAUGAAAAAUCUCUGUCAUCAAGAAGCUAUCAUUCUAGAGACAGGAAAAGUACAAAUGAAAAGAAAUAAUAAAUAAAAUAAGAGCAUGUGGGAUGGUGAUCUG